GCCUAACACAUGCAAGUCGAGCGGCAGCGAGAGUAGUAGCAAUACUACUUGUCGGCGAGCGGCGGACGGGUGAGGAACACGUAGGAACUUGCCCAGAAGUGGGGGAUAACUAAGGGAAACUUUAGCUAAUACCGCACCAACUCGAGAGAGAAAAGGUGCCGGCAAGGGUGUCGCUUUUGGAGCGGCCUCCGUCCGAUUAGCUAGUUGGUGAGGUAAUGGCUCACCAAGGCAACGAUCGGUAACUGGUCUGAGAGGACGACCAGUCACACUGGGACUGAGACACGGCCCAGACUCCUACGGGAGGCAGCAGUGGGGAAUAUUGGACAAUGGGGGCAACCCUGAUCCAGCGAUGCCGCGUGGGUGAAGAGGGCCUUCGGGUUGUAAAGCCCUUUCGGUUGGGAAGAAGCUUGGUCUCCCCAUAAGCGAUCAAGUUGACGGUACCGACAGAAUAAGCACCGGCAAACUCUGUGCCAGCCGCCGCCGUAA
rnacentral:rRNA from 1 species